AUGUCCCCAGACACCCUCAUCCAUCCACGUCCCGGGACACCCUCAUCCACACCCCGGAAGACCCUCAUCCACAUCCCGGGACACCCUCAUCCACGCCCCGGAACACCUUCAUCCACGCCCCGGAAGACCCUCAUCCACGUCCCGGAACACCCUCAUCCACGUCCCGGAACACCCUCAUCCACGUCCCCGAACACCCUCAUCCACGUCCCGGGACACCCUCAUCCACGUCCCGGAACACCCUCAUCCACGUCCCCGGACACCCUCAUUCACGCCCCCGAACACCCUCAUCCACGUCCCCGGACACCCUCAUCCACGUCCCGGGACACCCUCAUCCACGUCCCCAGACACCCUCAUCCACGUCCCCGGACACCCUCAUCCACGCCCUGGAAGACCCUCAUCCAUCCACGUCCCGGGACACCCUCAUCCACACCCUGGAAGACCCUCAUCCACAUCCCGGGACACCCUCAUCCACGCCCCGGAAGACCCUCAUCCACGUCCCCAGACACCCUCAUCCAUGUCCCCAGACACCCUCAUCCAUCCACGUCCCGGGACACCCUCAUCCACACCCCGGAAGACCCUCAUCCACAUCCCAGGACACCCUCAUCCACGCCCCGGAACACCUUCAUCCACGCCCCGGAAGACCCUCAUCCACGUCCCGGAACACCCUCAUCCACGUCCCCGAACACCCUCAUCCACGUCCCCGAACACCCUCAUCCACGUCCCGGGACACCCUCAUCCACACCCUGGAAGACCCUCAUCCACAUCCCGGGACACCCUCAUCCACGCCCUCAUCCACGCCCCGGGACACCCUCAUCCACGCCCCGGAAGACCCUCAUCCACAUCCCGGGACACCCUCAUCCACGCCCCGGAACACCUUCAUCCAUGCCCCGGAAGACCCUCAUCCACGUCCCGGAACACCCUCAUCCACGUCCCCGAACACCCUCAUCCACAUCCCGGAACACCCUCAUCCACGUCCCGGGACACCCUCAUCCACGCCCCGGACACCCUCAUCCACGUCCCGGACACCCUCAUCCACGUCCCGGAACACUCUCAUCCACGUCCCCGGAAGACCCUCAUCCACGUCCCCGAACACCCUCAUCCACGUCCCGGGACACCCUCAUCCACGUCCCGGAACACCCUCAUCCACGCCCCGGACACCCUCAUCCACGUCCCGGAACACCCUCAUCCACGUCCCGGAACACCCUCAUCCACGUCCCGGAACACCCUCAUCCACGCCCCCGAACACCCUCAUCCACAUCCCGGAACACCCUCAUCCACGUCCCCGAACACCCUCAUCCACAUCCCGGAAGACCCUCAUCCACGUCCCCGAACACCCUCAUCCACACCCCGGAACACCCUCAUCCACGUCCCCGAACACCUUCAUCCACGUCCCGGAACACCCUCAUCCACGUCCCAGAACACCCUCAUCCACACCCCGGAACACCCUCAUCCAUGGCCCGGAACACCCUCAUCCACACCCCAGAACACCCUCAUCCAUGGCCCGGAACACCCUCAUCCACACCCCGGAACACCCUCAUCCACGUCCUCAUUGCGCCAAAGUGUCUUCCGUUGGUCUUUCCAUGA
rnacentral:lncRNA from 1 species